AAGAAUGUCAGUAUAACAAUUUUCUGUCAAGACAUGGCAGGAGGGUAGAGAGUGGGACACACAAAACCUUUAAAGGGGACUCCAAGGGUGCCCCACAUAGGAUGUGGAGAACAUGGAAGAUGGUGCUGGGGAAGGCAACCUGUUACAAGGAACCUUAGGACUAGGAGGGAGGAUGAAGCUGGGAGACAGUCAAGGACAGUCUUUGGGUGUCAUUUGGAGCCAGCUUUCUUGGGGAGGGCACCCUAUUGUGAAGUUGCUUCUUAUCCCCUU